rnacentral:rRNA from 1 species
AUUGAACGCUGGCGGCAUGCCUUACACAUGCAAGUCGAACGGCAGCGGACCUUCGGGUGCCGGCGAGUGGCGAACGGGUGAGUAAUGCAUCGGAACGUGCCAUUGAGUGGGGGAUAACGUAGCGAAAGUUACGCUAAUACCGCAUAUUCUGUGAGCAGGAAAGCAGGGGACCGCAAGGCCUUGCGCUCUUUGAGCGGCCGAUGUCAGAUUAGCUAGUUGGUGAGGUAAAGGCUUACCAAGGCGACGAUCUGUAGCGGGUCUGAGAGGAUGAUCCGCCACACUGGAACUGAGACACGGUCCAGACUCCUACGGGAGGCAGCAGUGGGGAAUUUUGGACAAUGGGCGCAAGCCUGAUCCAGCCAUGCCGCGUGAGUGAAGAAGGCCUGGUGUAAGCUCUUCGGUCCGGGAACGGAAAUACGCAU